CUGUCAUCUUUCUGCUUUAUUGACAGGUAAAUUGUUCAAAAAUGUUCUCACAAUUCAAUAAUUACAAAGACUCGGACUUACAUUAAAAAAGUAAAAACCAGAAGCCCCACCCAGCAGGUGCCAGCCCCAGCAGAAGGCCCAGCGGGGUGGUUGGGCAGGCGGGUGCUGGGUUUGUGACACACACUGGCAGACAGUGGUGCCACAUUACUCAGUGCUGACUCAAGGUAAGUGCACGUCUUCAGCAGCGUCGCCAGGAAUGCUGACCAGUGGGAGAGCUGGGAGAAUCUGUCCAGGGCCAAGGACAAGCUGUGUGCCAGCCAGGUAAUCACGAGCCUUUAGAGAGACAGGCCACCACUAAUGACUCAAACGCUGCAGGGAGGGAGCCAGGAACACGAGGGUGCGGGGGCCGCUGGGGAGUGUGGCGGCGAGUCGACGUGAUCCAGAAGGGCACGAAUCACGGGGCUCCAUGCAGGGCGGGGUCCUGGCACCUGCUGUGGGGCUCCAUGGGGCUCUAGCCUCCUCUCAGCCCACAGGCCUCCAGGCCCAGCUGCACCACGACACCCGCUGCUUUAACAGCAGGAGGCAGAGCUGCGGAAGUGAGCGGAAAACAGAGCACAGCUGACUUCACAGUAGUAGAUACUGGUGACUCUUCAUAGUUGUGACCGGGAAGGGACUGACACGCACAAGGGACCCAGGGCAGGUGUCACACGACAGAGGCCUCUGUCCACGUUCUACAGGGGUGGCAGAAGCACCUCGGCAUCUGUAACGGCUAAAUGAGUCAAAAGGCCACAAACUAACCUCCACUUUCCUGUCUUCAAAAUUCUAGUGACACUGGGAAUGACAAACGACUUCCUACUCUUCUCCUAAGGGCCUAGGAAAGUUUUAGGAAACAGGAACAGACGCGUUACUGAGGCCGCCCUCGCUGUCUGCUUCCCGAGCCGAGCCGAGCCGGGUCUGCUGGCUUUCUGCCCAGGAGGCCGGCGUCCGCAGGCCCCACGCGCCUGCUCGGCUGGUUCUGGAGGCAGCGGCUGCGUGGCGGUCCUUCCUGUGCAAACGGAGCGGGCGCCUCACACCUGAGCAGAGGCAGGGGCCUGGUCCACCGCCAUGGCCGGGGCACAAAACCGGUCAGUGUCACAGUAAAGAAGUUUCUCCUCCCCGUUUCCACACGUCACUUCUACACUUCCUUGGACAGCACUGGAGGUCAGAUCAGUCUUGGCACUGACACUGGAGGCCCCCCGGCCCCGAGGCGGUGAGCGUCGGCUUCAGGCGUCAUAGGACGGCUGCUCCAGGCCUUCGAGCGGGAGCUGGCUCCUGUGGGGAGAGUUGGGGCUCGGCGGGCCGCUGGGGUUGGAGCUGUUGGAUGGAGUCGAGUGUUNNNNNNNNNNNNNNNNNNNNNNNNNNNNNNNNNNNNNNNNNNNNNNNNNNNNNNNNNNNNNNNGGGCAGGACUGUCUCCUUUCUCGUGAGAAGAACACACGCUGGCACUUCCCGAGGCCUUUAACCCUGCUGGUGGGGAGCAUGAACCAAGACCCAACCCCAGUGACGACGACGAAGUAACGCGCAGUGAAGAAAGCAGACAGCAGCCCACGGUCAGGGAUGUGAAGUUCUUUCACGAGAAAAGCACGAGGAAUAGAGAGGAACUUCUCAGCGUGACAAAGGGGGGCCACAGGUAACGUCCCACCCAAUGGGUGAAAGGCAGAGCCUCCCCUUCAGAGUAGGAACAGAGAGGGGCGCUGCUUUCCCUGCCAGCAGAGCCCACACGGCUGCACGCUCCGGCCAGAGCCAUCAGGCAGGAAAAAGGUGGCAUCCGGGCUGGAAACGAAGAAGUAAAAGCAUCUCUGUUUACAGAUGACAUGAUUCUCUAUAGACAGAAAAUCCUAAAGGACUCACACAAAAACUAAACAAAUCCAGAGAAGUUGCAUGGUACAAGAUCAACACGCAAAAUCAGUUGUAUUUCUAUACACCAGCAAUAAGCAGGCUACAAAGGGAAUCCAGAAGAUUUCAUUUACGACAGCAUCCAAAAGGGUAACAUAUAGCUAGGAAUAAAUGUAACAUAACCAAGGAAGUGAAGUGUCUGUAUGUAAAUACAGCUGGUGGAGUUCCCUCGUGGUUCGGCAGGCUAAGGUUCCCGUGUUGUCACUGCUGGGGCUCUGGUUACAGCUGUGGCUCAGGUCUGAUCCCUGGACCGUGAAGUUCCACAUGCCUCAGGUGUGGCCAAAACAGAACAAAACUUACCAAAAGAAAUUAAAGAUCCCUAAAUAAGUGGAAAGACAUCCCAUGUUCAUGGACUGGAAGGCUGAUGUUAAGAUGGCAAUAUUCCCCAAAGUAAUCAAUCUACAGAUUCAAUGCAAUCCUAACUGAAAUUCCAAUGGCUUUUUUUUUCCAGAAGAGGGAAGGCCAAUCCUCAAAUUCAUGUAGAAUUUUUGCAAAGGACCCAGAAGAGUCAAAAUAAUAUGAGGAAGUUGAGGACUCACACUUCUCAAACUUACGACUUCAAAAUGUGCUACAAAGCAGCAAUAAUCAAAACCAGUGUGGCAGUACUAGUGUAAGGACCAACGGAAUCGAACUGAAAGUCCAGAAAUAGAUCCAUAACCCUAUGGCCAACUGAUUUUUGACCAGGGUGCCAAGACCACUCAGUGGGGCAACAAACAAACGGUGCAAAUGCAAAGAAUUACACUAGACCCCUACCUCAGAGACACACCACCUAGCUAAAAAUGGGUGAAAGACCUAAAUAUAAAAGCUAAACCCACAAAACUCUUAAGAAAAACACAGGACUAAAUCCUAAAUCUUCAUGCUCUUGGAUUGGGCCAUGGAUCAAACAUCAAGAGCGUGAGGAACAAAAGAAAAAAACUGAAAAGCUGCACUUCAUCAAAAUUAGAAAUUUCAACACAUCUGAGGACAUUGUAAGAAGGUGAAAACCCACCCGGAGAAUGGGAGAAAAUAUCCGUGAGCCACACAUACGAUGAAGGCCUGGCAUUCACAUUAUCCCAAAUUCUCUUGCAGCUCAAAGACAAAAAGACAAUUAAAAAGUGAGCAAAAGACCUGAAUAGACGUUUCUCCAAAGAACUGCAUGGACGGCCAGCGAGCCACACGAAAAAGAUGCUGGACAUGACUGAUCAUGUGGGAGAUAUGCCACCUGAAACCACAAUGAUUAAAACCUCACACCUGCUAAGACGGCUGUUCAAAAAAACGUUUGCUUUCUAGGGCCGCACCCGCGGCACACGGAGGUCCCCAGGCUCGGGGUCCGAUCGGAGCUGCAGCUGCCGGCCUACACCACAGCCACGCCAGAUCCUUAAGCCACUGAACAAGGAUCCAGCAUUGCUGAGAGCUGUGGUGUAGGUUGCAGAUGCGGCUUGGAUGUGGCAUUGCUGUGGCGGUGGUGUAGGCUGGCAGCUGCGGCUCCAAUUUGACCCCAAGCCUGGGAACCUCCACAUGCUGCAGGUGCAGCCUUAGAAAGACAAAAACAGACAGGCCUUGACUGAGGAGGAUUUUGGAAAAGAACUGCGUUCCUAAAACAAGUAAGAUACAAAAGGCCGGAGAGUAGACCAGACAUUAAAGAGAUGCCUGCUGGAUGUGGCACAUGGCUGGGCUGGACUGUGGGUGUCAGGGGACUGGCUGAGAACAGCCCUGGGGACACUGGAGGGGAGAUGCCCUCUGUCGGGAGACCCUGGACCCUGGCCAAGUACUGCAGCUCACUUUCUGCUGGUUCUUCCCAAAAAAACCAAGUGUGGACAGACGGGUCCGGUAAAGGUAUAUGGGUUAUUCUCUCUACUAUUCUUGCUACUUUUCUAGAGGUUCGAAAAUUUUCAAAUCGCAUAUUUGAAGGGAAAAAAGAGGGGAAAACCCAGUAAGACAAAACUCACCUCCCUAGCCAUCAAUCUCGGGCCCUUUUAAGGGUGGGCUCUGAACCCUUCCAGCAAAGAAAACCCCUGUGUUCUGGCAGCUCAAAAACGUGGAGCCCUGAACCAGAGCUGAGGCUGCUGCAGCCCUGCAGACAGCUGGCCGAGGGCAGCUCCGAAGAGAAGGCACAGGCCGACUCCACUGACAGCACGGACGGAAGAGCUGUCCGCCAAACGUCCCCUGGCCGAACCGCUCAGUGUCCCAGGCACGACGAACACACGCUGGCCAAGGAGGCUUUACUUUCAGGACGCAACACUCACAGGUUGGAGCAAGAACCCACAGAGGUCACUUCGGAAAACACCACAAGCGGAUUCCUGUCGUCACCCCUUCCUCAGCGACGAGGCUGCCCAGCUGCUUCCCAGGAGGAGGACACCUCCCCAGCGGGCGGGCAGGGCCUCGGUCUUCGUGGGAGGCCUCGGCAGGGGCCUGGGCCUGCUGUCAGGUCCACAUGUGCCCCGUUCCCAGCCCCGGCCAGCACACGGAGAGGCCGCACAGAAACACCGCCCCAGCCCAGGGCCAGAGCCAACACUCCCAGGCCACCAAAGGGAUGAGAACCAGUCAGAGCUCAGGCCGGCCAGGGCCAGAGAACACACACUCCAACGGGCCCGGCUUAUGCGGACCCCAGCAGCCACCCCAACAGGCGACAAGGGCCCUGGAACGAUUAGCUAUGAGCCACAAACAUGCACGGGCUGUGCCAGCAAAGCCAUCAAGAGGGGCUCCUACACAGAAACGGCCAACGUGGGGGACAGCCCC
rnacentral:lncRNA from 1 species